rnacentral:rRNA from 1 species
UACGUAGGAGGCGAGCGUUGUCCGGAGUUACUGGGCGUAAAGGGUGCGUAGGCGGCCGUGCGCGUGGCGGGUGAAAUCUCCCGGCUUACCCGGGAGGGGGCUUGCCAGACGGCACGGCUUGAGGGACGGAGAGGGGCGUGGAAUUCCUGGUGUAGCGGUGGAAUGCGCAGAUAUCAGGAGGAACACCGGUGGCGAAGGCGGGUCUCUGGGCAGUAACUGACGCUGAGGAGCGAAAGCGUGGGGAGCGAACAGG